rnacentral:rRNA from 1 species
GAUGAACGCUAGCUACAGGCUUAACACAUGCAAGUCGAGGGGUAACGAGAGGAAAGCUUGCUUUCCUUGUCGACGACCGGCGCACGGGUGAGUAACGCGUAUCCAACCUGCCCCCAACUAAGGAAUAACCUUGCGAUAGUAAGACUAAUACCUUAUAAUUUCCACCGAUGUCAUCUCACGAGGAAUCAUGAUUUAUCGGUGGUGGUUGGGGAUGCGUCUGAUUAGCUUGUUGGCGGGGUAACGGCCCACCAAGGCAACGAUCAGUAGGGGUUCUGAGAGGAAGGUCCCCCACAUUGGAACUGAGACACGGUCCAAACUCCUACGGGAGGCAGCAGUGAGGAAUAUUGGUCAAUGGGCGGAAGCCUGAACCAGCCAAGUAGCGUGCAGGAUGACGGCCCUAUGGGUUGUAAACUGCUUUUAUACAGGAAUAAAGUUAGCCACGUGUGGUUAUUUGUAGGUACUGUAUGAAUAAGGACCGGCUAAUUCCGUGCCAGCCGCCGCAGUAA